rnacentral:pre_miRNA from 1 species
CAACUACUCCCUCUAUCCCAAAUUUCUUGUCUUAGAUUUGUCUAGAUACGGAUGUAUCUAAUACUAAAAUGUGACUUGAUACAUCCGUAUCUAGACAAAUCUAAGACAAGAAUUUUGGGACAGAGGGAGUACUUU